ensembl:snoRNA
AUCUUUUGGUGGCUUAUAAGUGUGACAAUUGGGUUUUCACAUCACUGUGUGAGAUGUACCUUGGAUAAACCCUGUUGGACAUCGGGUAGACAGUAUUGCAUGUCUGAUG